rnacentral:rRNA from 1 species
CACGUAGGGCGCAAGCGUUUGUCCGGAAUUACUGGGCGUAAAGGGCUCGUAGGCGGCCAACUAAGUCAGACGUGAAAUCCCCAGGCUCAACCUGGGAACUGCGUCUGAUACUGGAUGGCUUGAAUCCGGGAGAGGGAUGCAGAAUUCCAGGUGUAGCGGUGAAAUGCGUAGAUAUCUGGAGGAAUACCGGUGGCGAAGGCGGCAUCCUGGACCGGCAUUGACGCUGAGGAGCGAAAGCUAGGGGAGCAAACGGG